rnacentral:lncRNA from 1 species
CUGCCCUCAAAAAAUGACUCUGGGACACUGUCAAAAAAUUUCAGCAGCAAGUCACCAUCUUCUUUGAGAUCGAGCAAAAGGAAUGCUUCAAAUGUGGACAUGGAUUCCACUGAGAAAGCGGCAAGACUCAAGGCGCAGCAAAAUUUGGAAACGCAAACAAAAAAAGGUAAUCUGCAGCAACCCUUGUCUUUUAAUUCUCGAGAUGACUCUUCUAUUUUAAAUGCUGCUAUGUCUUUAGGGGUUGUCUUAGGAAAUAAUGAACAAAGUGUGCUUAAUUCUUUAAAACGUUUGAAAGAUAUAGAACAUAACAGGCUUCUGGAAGAUGCUUUGUUAAGGGAUGAGAAUUGUGGGCUAGCAGAAGAUGCGUCAACUAUUUAUUCCAAUGAUGACAACGUAGAUUUGGACACAUUAAACCUUAUUUGCUCUGAUAUCACUGAAGGGCUGGGUGAUGGGGCC